UACGUAGGGCGCAAGCGUUGUCCGGAAUUAUUGGGCGUAAAGAGCUCGUAGGCGGCUUGUCACGUCGGAUGUGAAAGCCCGAGGCUUAACCUCGGGUCUGCAUUCGAUACGGGCUAGCUAGAGUGUGGUAGGGGGAGAUCGGAAUUCCUGGUGUAGCGGUGAAAUGCGCAGAUAUCAGGAGGAACACCGGUGGCGAAGGCGGGUCUCUGGGAC
rnacentral:rRNA from 1 species